rnacentral:rRNA from 1 species
CCUGAUGGAGGGGGAUAACUACUGGAAACGGUAGCUAAUACCGCAUAACGUCGCAAGACCAAAGAGGGGGACCUUCGGGCCUCUUGCCAUCAGAUGUGCCCAGAUGGGAUUAGCUAGUAGGUGGGGUAACGGCUCACCUAGGCGACGAUCCCUAGCUGGUCUGAGAGGAUGACCAGCCACACUGGAACUGAGAUACGGUCCAGACUCCUACGGGAGGCAGCAGUGGGGAAUAUUGCACAAUGGGCGCAAGCCUGAUGCAGCCAUGCCGCGUGUAUGAAGAAGGCCUUCGGGUUGUAAAGUACUUUCAGCGGGGAGGAAGGCGAUAAGGUUAAUAACCUUGUCGAUUGACGUUACCCGCAGAAGAAGCACCGGCUAACUCCGUGCCAGCAGCCGCGGUAAU